rfam:Methanobrevibacter smithii ATCC 35061, complete genome.
GCAAGUUAAAGACAGCUGUUGGUUUUUUAACUAAGGAAACUCCGCCCAUCGUUACAGACUAUGGCGUUGAAAAACGUAUACUGAGAGGUAUGACUCUGGAGCAGAAACGACACGUCUUUUAAUGGUUGACUAUGAUAUUUAAUUGAGGACAUUGAAAGAAUCGGUGAAACGGCCAUUCCAUAGGAUGCAAGAACAAAAAAUGCUGAUGACUACUGUAAGAGGCAAAAGUAGUUCGCUAAGAUGAAUGCUGUUAAACAGAAGGUGGGUUACUCUUAACAUGC